rnacentral:rRNA from 1 species
AUCUCAUGCAAGUCGAGCGGUAGCACAGAGAGCUUGCUCUCGGGUGACGAGCGGCGGACGGGUGAGUAAUGUCUGGGAAACUGCCUGAUGGAGGGGGAUAACUACUGGAAACGGUAGCUAAUACCGCAUAAUGUCGCAAGACCAAAGUGGGGGACCUUCGGGCCUCAUGCCAUCAGAUGUGCCCAGAUGGGAUUAGCUAGUAGGUGGGGUAACGGCUCACCUAGGCGACGAUCCCUAGCUGGUCUGAGAGGAUGACCAGCCACACUGGAACUGAGACACGGUCCAGACUCCUACGGGAGGCAGCAGUGGGGAAUAUUGCACAAUGGGCGCAAGCCUGAUGCAGCCAUGCCGCGUGUAUGAAGAAGGCCUUCGGGUUGUAAAGUACUUUCAGCGGGGAGGAAGGCGAUAAGGUUAAUAACCUUGUCGAUUGACGUUACCCGCAGAAGAAGCACCGGCUAACUCCGUGCCAGCAGCCGCGGUAAUACGGAGGGUGCAAGCGUUAAUCGGAAUUACUGGGCGUAAAGCGCACGCAGGCGGUCUGUCAAGUCGGAUGUGAAAUCCCCGGGCUCAACCUGGGAACUGCAUUCGAAACUGGCAGGCUAGAGUCUUGUAGAGGGGGGUAGAAUUCCAGGUGUAGCGGUGAAAUGCGUAGAGAUCUGGAGGAAUACCGGUGGCGAAGGCGGCCCCCUGGACAAAGACUGACGCUCAGGUGCGAAAGCGUGGGGAGCAAACAGGAUUAGAUACCCUGGUAGUCCACGCCGUAAACGAUGUCGAUUUGGAGGUUGUGCCCUUGAGGCGUGGCUUCCGGAGCUAACGCGUUAAAUCGACCGCCUGGGGAGUACGGCCGCAAGGUUAAAACUCAAAUGAAUUGACGGGGGCCCGCACAAGCGGUGGAGCAUGUGGUUUAAUUCGAUGCAACGCGAAGAACCUUACCUGGUCUUGACAUCCACAGAACUUUCCAGAGAUGGAUUGGUGCCUUCGGGAACUGUGAGACAGGUGCUGCAUGGCUGUCGUCAGCUCGUGUUGUGAAAUGUUGGGUUAAGUCCCGCAACGAGCGCAACCCUUAUCCUUUGUUGCCAGCGGUCCGGCCGGGAACUCAAAGGAGACUGCCAGUGAUAAACUGGAGGAAGGUGGGGAUGACGUCAAGUCAUCAUGGCCCUUACGACCAGGGCUACACACGUGCUACAAUGGCAUAUACAAAGAGAAGCGACCUCGCGAGAGCAAGCGGACCUCAUAAAGUAUGUCGUAGUCCGGAUUGGAGUCUGCAACUCGACUCCAUGAAGUCGGAAUCGCUAGUAAUCGUAGAUCAGAAUGCUACGGUGAAUACGUUCCCGGGCCUUGUACACACCGCCCGUCACACCAUGGGAGUGGGUUGCAAAAGAAGUAGGUAGCUUAACCUUCGGGAGGGCGCUUACCACUUUGUGAUUCAUGACUGGGGUGAAGUCGUAACAAGGUAACCGUAGGGGAACCUGCGGUUGGAUCACCUCCUU